CCCUUAGAUGUUCUGGGCCGCACGCGCGCUACACUGAUGCAUUCAACGAGUCUACAACCUGGUCUGAUAGGGCUGGGUAAUCUUUUGAAUGUGCAUCGUGAUUGGGAUAGAUGAUUGCAAUUCUUCAUCUUCAACGAGGAAUGCCUAGUAAACGCAAGUCAUCAGCUUGCAUUGAUUACGUCCCUGCCCUUUGUACACACCGCCCGUCGCUCCUACCGAUCGAAGAGUUAGGUGAAUUGUUUUGAUCGAUAAGAUUUGACUAUGGUCAACUCUCGUUGUGAAAUUCUGUGAAUCUGACUGUUUAGAGGAAGGAAAAGUCGUAACA
rnacentral:rRNA from 1 species